AACAAAGAUUUGGGUUGGAUAAGCAUGGCCUGUCACUGGUUGAUCCAAAUUCACCCACUCCAAGACUAGUAAAAGUGCGUGUAAUGCACUCGCUCAUGGCACUUAACGGGACCGUCACCCGCGUGACGGCAGAUACCAGACCCACUCACGGAAGGCACGCUCCGUCAAACCCUCCCACACACACCUUCUCUCAACUCUCCAUUCUCUUUCCCUAACGUCCCCGACGACGCCGUAACGUCCUCUCUCACCGUUAUGGCCUCUUGCGACGACGACGACGACUUCUCUCUCCUCCGUGACGAUAACCACCACCUCCACCAGCCUUACGCCCCGCACCACUUCUCUCCCUCCACCGUCGCCGUCGCCGUCGCUCCUGUCCCACCCAAAUCCAUUGCUGACGAUGCCGACGACUAUGGAAACCCCUUCGACGAUGACGGUGGCAGCGAAAAGCGGAAGGACCGGGAGGAGAUCGGCGAGGGAGCCACGUCCUACGGAUUCAACAAGAGAUCUAAGGCUCCACAGUCGAGUGCAGGCAGCGCGGAGUACAGAAAGGACAGAGAGGAAUGGAGCGACACGGCCAUCGUGUGCCUCCUCGAGGCUUACACGGAGAAGUUCACACAACUGAAUCGGGGAAACCUGAGAGGAAGGGAUUGGGAGGAGGUCGCGUUUGUGGUGAGCGAACGGUGCGAGAACCAAUCGAAGAGCGUGGAACAGUGUAAGAACAAGGUAGAUAACCUAAAAAAGAGGUACAAAUUGGAGCGACAAAGAAUGAGCAGUGGCUGCAUUUCUACCAGUCACUGGCCUUGGUUCAAACAAUUGGAGCAGAUCGUUGGGAAUUCUCUUCCGGCAAAAUUCUCUGAUGAGGAUAAAGCGGUUGUUUCUGCCGGAACUUCGCCCAGACAAUCGAAAAGAUAUGGAGCGGCAACACCCAGCACAGGUCAAGCGAAUAGCAUUAGGUCAAAAGCACUGACAAACCUUAGAUGGCGGAGGGUUGUCUUCAAAAUUAGUGGAGCAGCUCUUACUGGAUCUGAUACCUGCAACAUGGACCCUAAGGUGGCUAUGUUAGUUUCAAGAGAAGUUGCCAUAGCUUCCCGCCUUGGUGUUGAGGUGGCUAUUGUUGUUGGAGGCUGUAAUUUCUUCUCUGGAGAUGCAUGGGUAAAUGCGACAGGUCUAGAAAGAUGUACUGCAUACCAAGUUGGCAUGAUGGCAACAGUGAUGAAUUCAAUAUUGCUCCAAUCGACUCUAGAGAAGAUGGGUGUUCAGACUCGUGUACAAACUUCAAUUGCCAUGCAGGAGUUUGCUGAACUAUACAAUAGGCAGCGGGCUAUCAGACAUCUUGAGAAAGGAAGAGUUAUUAUAUUUGGUGGCAUCUGUUUUGGUGCUGGCAAUCCACUUUUCUCAACUGACAUAGCUGCAGCUCUUCGUGCUUCAGAGCUUAAUGCUGAAGCAGUCCUCAAGGGUACUAAUGUAGACGGUGUGUAUGACUGCAACUCACGAGAUAACAAUUUCACUUUUGAGCACAUAUCCUUCAGAGAGCUGGGCUCAAGAGGAAUCACUUCUAUGGAUGCGUCAGCGCUGACUUUAUGCAAGGAAAAUGCCAUUCCUGUCGUGGUUUUUAAUUUACUGGAGCCUGGGAACAUCUCUAAAGCUUUAUGUGGAGAACAAGUUGGCACACUAAUUGAUCAAACUGGAGCAGUCGCAUGAGAUAUAAUUCAUGACAAUGCCAUUGAAGUGUUACCAGAUUAAUAGUUGCGGAUUCACGUCGCUUUCAAGACAAUGCCAUUGAACUGUGUACCAAUGUCCACCGCUGCAAACUCCAGAUGUACAACAUUAUACAAUUCAACAAGACAACAGUUAUUAAGAGCAUCGAUAAUUCAGAUCUGUGUCACGUUCAACAAUGGAAUUCCACAGAACUCACAAAAUUUUACAAAGAACAGUUAUAGCAACAGCAAAAGGUAAUGUGCACUGAGACAAUGCAACCAGAAAGAGGAGCUGAUCACUGCAGUGAAAUGGUGGGAAUGGAAGGUGAAAGCGAAUUGCGCGAUUCAUCAUAGUCCUCCCCAAGUGGCGAUUGCUCCACCCUGAUCUCCUCAACCAUUUUCACAACUUCUUCCAUAGUUGGCCUCUUCUCCGGCUGCGCCACAACACAGGCC